AAAAAGUAUUUGUGAUUUCAUUCUGUGGCCCCCUAUGUUUUCAUAGUCUUCUCUUCUAUGUCUAAAGACAUGUUGCAAAAAAAAUUGUUUUCAUUUUCAUAAGGAUGAAAAUAACAGGAAGAGAUUAUCACUUUUAAGAUAUUAUUGUACUCUUCAGUAAAUUGUAAAAUGUCAUUAUUUCAUUUCUUUCCAUAGUUAUAAUUUUCAAGAUCAGUUCAUUGUCAGCCUAUAUCUGGUUGUGUUCUUUUGAUAGAAGAUGAUCUGCAUUAUAUAAUUGCAGAUUCUGGUUGCUUUGGCAACAAAAUGCUUGCUUUAAAUAUAGAAACAUUUAUUUUCUGUCACGUCACUCUUUACUGUUAAGGAGACAAGCUGUUUUCUGUUAAAUAAAAAAUAAGGAGAUACUAUUAUAAUGGGUGAAUUGUCAGGAUUCGUUCUUUGUUUCAGUUUAAGCGAAUAGGAAAAGGAAGAACCAAUUCUCCCAGAAAUUAAAAGUCUUUCAUGCACAGGCAACCUCUGUGUUGGAAAGGUGAAGAGAAGGAGAAAACAAAUUCCAUGAUUAUGGAGCACACAGAAGUGUGAUCAGUGCCAUCUAUUAAAAUUGUUUUAGGAGUUCCUGUUGUGGUAUAGCAGAAAUAAAUCCGACUAGUAUCCAUGAGGAUGAGGGUUUGAUCCCUGGCCUCACUUAGUGUGUUGUGGAUCCAGCGUUGCUGUGAGCUCUGGUGUGGGUCACAGAUGUAGCUUGGAUACCGUGUUGCUGUGGCUAUGUGUAGGCGGGCAGUCACAGCUCCAAUUCAACCCCUAACCUAGGAACUUCCAUAUGAUGCAGGUGCAGCCCUAAAAAGAAAAAGAAAAACAAAAACAUUGUUGUAGUAAAGUGGAGAAUUGGCCUAUAGAGGGAGAUUUGUUAGUACUUUUUCAAAGAAGGAAGUUACUCUUUCCAGGAAUAUCCCACUUCUGAAAGCAUAGUUUUCAAACUGUUCAAAACAUCUCAUACAAAUAGACAACCAACCUAAGUUCAAGUUUUCUUUGACUCAUUCAUGAGGUAUCAGGUUGGAUGGCAAGAAUUGAUUGGACUUGACUAUGAGGAAUUGGAAUUUAUCAUUUAUGAGGAAUUGGUUUAUCCUAUGAACUAAGGUCAUGGGAUUUCUCUUUUAAUAUUCCGGUUCCCAAAUAUUAAAGACUAGAAAUAUAAACCAAGGUACUACUUCAAAAUCCUACAGCUUCAAAAUUCUACAACUCUCAAUUAAAUUAUGAGAAAUAGGAUAGUACUUUUGUGCCACAUGAUUCACGUGAUCAGUGGCAGAUAUAAAUUGUACUGAAGCAGUAGAUGUGCAAGAAAUAGCAUAGUGCUUUUCAAAAAUAAAAAUGAAUCUGAAUUUAGGUUCUCCUUCAAGCUCUCCUUAGAUUGAUGGGAAAUUCAGCCUCAGUCAUCCACACUUCUUCUGGUCUCCCCUCCCUCUAUUCCAGGUCUUGUAAUGUUUGGGAGGAUCUAAUGCAGAGUGUGGUAUUUCAGUCCCCAUUGGUUCGAUGUUCAUGUUGUCUAGGCCUGCAGGGUCUCUUGAAAGCAUCAUUUGCUGAGGCUGAAAACUUUGAUAUUUGCAUCCAGUCUUCCUAGAUUUAUUGAGCAAGUAUUUCUUUUUGAGACAUAGCCAGGUCUCAUCUCUGGGAAGGGAAAAAACUUUGGUAAUGAUACUUACAAAACAAUCUUCUCUCUCUAAUCUAGGAACUAAUGUCUAACACUUCUCACCUCAGGUGCUUUCCUGUCUGUCUUCCCUCUCUGAUAAUCUGUCAUACUUUCCUUAAAACACCUAGGUUUUCAGAAAUAAAAAAAAUAGAGGCUGUUCUUUGCCCAAGAAAAUCCAGCCAAUUUUUUUUAAAUGGAAGAGAAAUACAAGGAGAAUUAAACACAAAUAAUAACUCCAUAGAUUAUCCUUCCAUAAUAACUUUAAAAAUGAUGAUUCAGGAAAUCUUUUUUUAUGUCAGGUUAUAAAUGUAAGAUAUUGAUAUUUCUGUAGCAAAAAGAUGUCACAGAUUAUAUUUUAAAAAUAAGUCAGUAAUACCCAAAUAAUUUAUAAAUUAGGUUAUCUACUAUCAAAAAAUAACAUUCUACAUGGAGAAAUAGUUAAGUAUCAAACGUCCUCCUGACUGCUGUAUCUCUAUAUGGUUUUACUACAUUUAUCUUAUUCAUUGAGCAUGAUUUUAUCUUGACCCCAACAAAAUGGUAAAGGAUAAUUGUGACUUUAUAUUAUUGACCAACUCCUUCUGAAUCUCAUCAUUGUCUCAGAAAAUUCACGUAUUUCUAUGCUUGAGAUGUGAGAAGAAGAUCCAAAUUACCUUAAAGCUUAUGGGAAAAAUUUAUUCUAUUUAUCCUGAUUAGAAAGACUUUCCAGAUUUAUCCAAAAGAGUCUCUCAAAAGGCUCUGCCUACAGCACAACAUUUUUUGAUUUUAGUUCUGUUCUUUAUCAUUUCAUGCAAAUACGGCAGAGUAGAGUCCUCUGGCUUUGCCAUUCCCUCUUAUCACAUUUUCUACCUUAUGCAGAAAGCUAAGAUACACUUGACCUAAGUUUUCUGUAUCUUUUCCAAGGCUGCCUGCAAAACCAUUUGUUUUACUGCUUUAUCCAUUUCACUUUAUUAUUAUUUUUUGGUGAUCAAUCUUCACAUAUAUUUCCUUUUCAAAACUACCGUGUAUGAUAGUUUUAAAAUUCUCGUGACAUAAAACCUGGGUAACAAAGAACUUAAUGCCAAAUGUUCACAUAUUUUACAAUUUCUGCAUGUGAACAUCAAAGGAAUGAACCAGUUGUCAAUAUACGUGCUACAAAUCAGAACAGCAGCACCUCUCUAUUGUGAUGGAUAUAUUUAUAAUAUAUUCUUGGAAACAUUUUAGCAAUAUUAUUACUGGAGAACUGGAGAAAAUUGUAUGUGGCAUCAUUCUGUACAAGCAAUGAAUUUCCUUUGUACUGAAAAUACUUUGUUUCUCUAUAUCUGGCACAGUGUCUAUAUAAUUGUUUUUAAUAAACUCUACAAGCAUGUCCUAAUUAUAGUGGAUUUAAGGAAUUGAUUUGUGCCGAUUCACGUUUAGACCUAUGCUAAGUUCUUCAUUUUCUUAAUCAGAAUCAGACCUUUUAUUUUAACUGAGUUUAUUAGGGACCUUGAUUUUCAGUUUCACCUUCCAAUUUCUCCUUUAAGGAGUUUUACUUACUUUCUAUUACUUCCAAAAACUAAUUCUUGGAGUUUUUGACUUCUCUUCCUUUGUACAUUCUAUUUAUCCAUCUUUUCCUUCAUUUCUACCUUUCUGCUUCAACUUGAGUUCUGCCUCUAUGAGACAUCUCAAUAUUUCCUCUGGGAUGUGAGCUUUGUCGCUUUUGAAUUCUGACAGCAUUUUGUUUCCUCUUUUUGGUACACUUAAUUUGAAGUUAUUUGAGUAUAAGUAAUAUCUCUCUCAUUAGAUUCAAAGCAUCUCAGUAGGAGAUACACUCCAUUGUGUAUUUUGAUACACAUCCUAUUCAAAUCUUAUGAAUAAAUACUAUUGUUGAAUGACAUUUAAAGUGUACACAUAACUAUUGCCUUCAAGGUUAUCUGUAGUCUGACAGUAGACACAAACACAUCAUCAAAACGAAGAUGAGUAGAAGUACAUUGAAGACUAACCAUGAAAAAAAUGGGUUUCUCUUCUUCUUUUUUUUUUUUUCUUUUUUGUUUUGGAUUUCUCUUCUUUCCUGCUGCAGCUGCUCUUCCCACUUACCCUGACUUUUUAAGUUUUCUUCUCACCUUUAGGUAAGAAGUGCCUAAGUUAAGAGCAAGGAGUCAAUGUCCUAGUAUCAUCAUCUAUUAGGACUUUUUUUUAUUAGUCUUUUGUAUCAAGCUACUUAUUGCAUAUCUGCAUUCCUCACUCCUGCUCUUCUUGACCUUUAAUUGCUAUUACUCCUUCCCUCCUUGAUAGACAUUACAAAUCUUCAUCUCCUUCUUGACAAUAGGAAAUUAUUGAUUGCUGGGCUGUGUGUCAAGCUCCUCCUGUCUUUUCCCAUGACUUUUUUCAAAGCAUAUCUUCCACCCAUCCUUAUAGCACCUACUCUUUCCUUUCCUGGUAAGCCAGGGAUUGCUACCUGAGCUUUAAACUGAGAAGAGUGAGAAAGAUGAGUCAGUCAGAAAAAUGAGAAUUAUACUCUGAAACAGAUUUUAUAGUCAUUGAGACUCAAAGAGAUUAGUAACUUACCAUAUGGCACUUAAGUGGCAGAACCAUGUGUUGAGUUCCCUGUACCUUUAUUAAUUGGGCAGAAAAAAAAUUCUCUGGCCCUCAACAAUUAGAAAUGGUUGUAACUCAAAAAUGUUAAGUCUCUGAUUUCUUCAAAUUUCUAUAUGAGUAUCUGAGAUGAUAAUAUUGCCUUGAGCUGAGAUGACUGAAAGAGGCACUGGGACUGCUUACAAGAUUUACAGUAAUAAUAUCUCCACUGGGAAUGUUCCAGGAAUGGAAGCUCUCCAGAUUAGAACAGGCUUCACCAGCAAAAUUUAGGCAACCUGAUAAAUUGUAUGAUGUGCACAUUGGAGACUUAAAACUUAAUUUCAAAAAUACCAUUUUUUUUUUUGCAGGAGAUGAAAUUUUACCUGGAGAUUAUGGAUCUUCAGGCUGGAGGGUGAUAAAAUCUUCCAGGAAGUUUGUGUGUCUAAUCAUAGAAGUGUGUCAUUUAAUUGUCUUUUCUCUGUGCUUUGGCACAGCUACCACAUUUCAAGCCAAGUGAGGUAUAUUUUUAGGAGGUUUGAGGGUAAACCUUCAGGUAUUCAUAUAUAGGAAAGUGGGCAGAUGGCAUAUUAUAUGGAUGUCAUUAUGGAUGUUUUUUGUUUUUAUGUGUUACGGCAAAGGCUUUGAAGAUAAACUGCCAUCGGCCAAGAGCUAGAAAAGCUUGCUCUUCACAUUUAUUCUGAUUUUCUUAGUGUUCAUAGUGAGUUUAUAGGGCUGAACUCAACUUUGCUAGCAUGUAAUUUUUUGUUCAAUAAUAAAUUCCAUUGGGUGAAGAAUGUCCAAGUGGGGGGAAAUCGAUUUUUAAUUGUAAAAUGUUUACCAUUAAAUUAUUUCAACAGGAGUUCCCGUCGUGGCUCGGUUGUUAACAAAUCCGACUAGGAACCAUGAGGUUGCAGGUUUGAUCCCUGGCCUUGCUCAGUGGGUUAAGGAUCUGGCGUUGCCGUGAGCUGUGGUGUAGGUUGCAGACAUGGCUUGGAUCCUGUGUUGCUGUGGCUCUGGCAUAGGCCGGCAGCUAUACCUCCGAUUCGACCCCUAGCCUGGGAACCUCCAUAAGCCUCAGGAGCAGCCCAAGAAAAUGGCAAAAAAAAAAACAAAAAAAAACUAUUUCAAUGGACUAUUUCUUUUGAUAUUUUCAAAAACCUGGCAAGCUAGGAAAGGCAGGGAGAACUACUUCUUUUACAUAUCAAGAAACCAGGAGUUCCCAUGGUUGUGCAGCGGAAGCGAGUCCGACAAGGAACCUUGAGGUUGCAGGUUCCAUCCCUGGCCUCGCUCAGCGGGUCAAGUAUCCUGUGUUGUCAUGAGCUGUGGUGUAGGUCACAGUUGCAGCUUGGAUCUGGUGUUGCUGUGGCUGUGGCAUAGGACAGAUACAGCUCUGAUUAGACCCCUAGCCUGGGAACCUCCAUAUGCUGUGGGUGCGGCCC
rnacentral:lncRNA from 1 species